ACCAAAACCAAUAAUCAUAUUAAUAUUGAUUAAUCUUUUUUUGUAAAAUUAAUUAAUAUUUUAGCAGAGCAAUACAACAGUUUCUCUUCCAUCAGAGAGAGCAGCAGCUGUUUCAUACACUCGCGAAUCCUGUUCCUCUCCCCUGCCAACUUAAAACCCAAACGCCGCCUUACCCAGUUGCCAAUUGUCUCAGCUCUCAGCGUAUUGCUUUGAUGGUGAUUAAGAUUUAAGGGGCCUCACUGAAAGUGGGAUCAUGGCUUGCUUGAGGCUCGGGUCCAAGUCCGAGUCGUUUCGCCUCGAAGGCAACACCUGGCUCUGCUCUACUGGUCUUCCCAGUGAUGUCAUCAUCGAAGUCGCAGACAUGUCGUUCCACCUACACAAGUUCCCGCUGUUAUCCCGAAGUGGAGCCCUUGCAGACCUGAUCGGGGAGGCAUCCCUCAAGGACGACCAGAGCUGCGAAAUACAGCUCCAUGAUGUGCCAGGCGGGCCCAAGACCUUCCUCCUCGCUGCCAAGUUCUGCUACGGAGUCAAGAUUGAGCUCAAUACCCACAAUGUGGUGGCCAUUCGGUGUGCUGCUGAGUACUUACAGAUGACCGAUGAGUACGGGGAGGAGAACCUCGUGUCACAGACAGAGCGGUUCCUCGAUGAGAUCUUCAGCAGUUGGGCGGACUCAAUCAAAGCCCUCGAGACCUGUGAAGAGGUCAUACUGCUUGCAGAGGAGCUUCAUAUCGUCUCUCGGUGUAUAACUUCAUUAGCAAUGAAGGCCAGCACUGACCCAAGCCUAUUUAGUUGGCCUGUUAGCGGAGGAGCAAGUGAUGUUAAAAGUCCAGUUGGGGCCGUCGUAUGGAAUGGGAUCCGAACAGCAGGGAAGUCCCAUGCUGUGACUGAGGACUGGUGGUACGAGGAUGUCUCCUUUCUUAGGCUAUCUUUAUAUAAGAGACUGAUUCUUGCUGUUGGGGAAAGAGGAGUGAGCCCUGAGAGGAUCGCAGGGUCGAUAAUGCACUAUACAAAGAAACAUCUACCAUUGAUGGGCAGGCAGUCAGGGUUCGAGAACGGGAAUAGCUCGAUGCCGGGGCCUACACUAUCAGAGUCGGAGCAGACAGUCCUUCUGGAGGAGAUCGUGGAGCUCCUUCCUGAUCGGAACAUGGUUACACCCACCAAGUUCCUCCUCAGGCUCCUCAGGACUUCGAUGAUCUUGCAGGUGGGACAGUCGUGCCAAGACAAGCUUGAGAGACGGAUUGGCUCUCAACUCGACCAAGCCCUUCUCGAGGACAUUCUUAUCCCAAAUGUGUAUUACUCCGCUGAGACUCUCUAUGAUAUCGACUGUGUCCAGAGGAUACUUGAUCACUUCAUGACUGCUUAUCAGGACGGGAUCAACCCUGUCUCGGGAUGCUUGGAGGUUGAAGGUCAGGAGUUGGGUGGUGGGUCACACUCGCUGACUCCAAUGACUAUGGUAGCUAGUCUAAUCGACGGGUACCUUGCCGAGGUGGCAACGGAUGUGAACUUGAAGCUGCAGAAGUUUCAGGCGCUCGCUGCUGCGAUUCCCGAUUAUGCUAGGCCAUUGGAUGAUGGAAUUUAUCGCGCUGUCGAUAUUUAUCUCAAGGCACACCCGUGGCUGACAGAUUCUGAGAGGGAACAAAUCUGCAGGUUGAUGAACUGCCAGAAACUCUCGAUGGAGGCCUGCACGCAUGCUGCACAGAACGAGCGGCUCCCUCUGCGAGUGAUCGUCCAGGUCCUCUUCUUUGAGCAGCUCCGGCUCCGAACCUCGAUAGCAGGCUGGUUCUUUGUCUCGGACAACCUCGAGGGCCAGAAUCAGAACCCAAGCAGGAAUAGCCUUGCACUCACAAGGACUGGCAUCUCCUGCCAGGGAAAUAAUAACAUUAACCCCCUGCAGAACGUCCAGGGCUUGGCAUUCGAUGACAUGAAGGAACGCGUGUCGGAGCUCGAAAAGGAGUGCCUCAGCAUGAAGCAGGAUCUCCGCAAGCUGGUGAAGACCAAAGGGAGUUGGAACGUUUUCUUCCGGAGGUUUGGGUUAAGGUUGAAGCACAAGAAGAUGGAGGCCAGACCGGCGGAGCCCUCCCGCUAGAGCAUGAAGGACCCUGCUGCAGAACCAAGAGCUGCACUCGCUAACGGUGAAUUAGGAGACUCAGCUAAAUAAAUUCCUAAAAAGAAAAAAAAUGCCGUCGUAUUGCACCGCUUAUCGUUAUAGAUCGUUUCUGCUUCAGACGUUCCAUGUUCCGAGCUGCCGACGUCUCUACCCCCGAUAUACGAGUCUUAUUUUGAUCAUGAGUGUCCGGUUGAGGAAACAGGUUGAUUGCAGCAUCUCUAAGGACAUAUUCGUUUAAGAUUUUUUGUCGAAGAACAUCUCAAUUAUGUACUUUUUCCUAUACGUCGGUGGCUAAGUUAGGUUUCUCCAAUGUGAGCCCUCGAUCGUCAUUAUCACAGCUUGAUUUUGUCUAUGUAUAACAAUGAGUCCACUUAUCAGACAUUGAGGUGAACUACU